GACGAACGCUGGCGGCGUGCUUAACACAUGUAAGUCGAACGAGACGAUUGAAAGCUUGCUUUUGAAAGUCGAGUGGCAAACGGGUGAGUAACGCGUAGACAACCUGCCUUUGAGAUGGGGACAACAGUUCGAAAGGACUGCUAAUACCGAAUGUUGUAUAUUUUCCACAUGGAAGAUAUAUUAAAGAUGGCCUCUAUUUAUAAGCUAUCGCUCAAAGAUGGGUCUGCGUCUGAUUAGCUGGUUGGUGGGGUAACGGCCUACCAAGGCGACGAUCAGUAGCCGGUCUGAGAGGAUGAACGGCCACAUUGGGACUGAGACACGGCCCAGACUCCUACGGGAGGCAGCAGUGGGGAAUCUUCCACAAUGGACGAAAGUCUGAUGGAGCAACACCGCGUGAGUGAAGAAGGGUUUCGGCUCGUAAAGCUCUGUUGUCGGGGACGAAUGUGCAGUAUUUGAAUAAAGUACUGUAAUGACGGUACCUGACGAGGAAGCCACGGCUAACUACGUGCCAGCCGCCGCGGUAACAC
rnacentral:rRNA from 1 species